rnacentral:sRNA from 2 species
GUUAAACGCAAGGGAGACCGAGAUGGGAAUGACACGUUCAAUCAACAUCCUGGCAGUCGGAGUAGCGUUUUUGUUCGUCGUGGCAAUGCUGUUCAUCUAACAGCGCAGGCUUCGGCACAACCAGCGGCGGCCUCGACCGCCAUGACCAUUCUCAUCAUUGAUGAUGUCAAAUACGCCAUGCGUCUGGAGGGACGCAUGGCGC